AGAGGGGGAGGGGAGAGAGGGGGAGGAGAGAGAGGUUGAUGAAGGAGAGUGUUGUCAGUGAUAAAGUAUAUAAACAAAUAUAGCUAGUUCAUGUCAACAUUCCAGACACCCGGGCCGGGCUAACUGAUGAGGUGGACACCUGGCUAACUGAUGAGGUGGACACCUGGCUAACUGAUGAGGUGGACACCUGGCUAACUGAUGAGGUGGACACCUGGCUAACUGAUGAGGUGGACACCGGGCUAACUGAUGAGGUGGACACCUGGCUAACUGAUGAGGUGGACACCUGGCUAACUGAUGAGGUGGACACCUGGCUAACUGAUGAGGUGGACACUCGGACAGGGCUAACUGAUGAGGUGGACACUCGGACAGGGCUAACUGAUGAGGUGGACACUCGGGUCGGGUAACUGAUGAGGUGGACACCUGGCUAACUGAUGACGCCGGGCUAACUGAUGAGGUGGACACCUGGCUAACUGAUGAGGUGGACACCUGGCUAACUGAUGAGGUGGACACCCAGGCUAACUGAUGAGGUGGACACUCGGACAGGGCUAACUGAUGAGGUGGACACUCGGACAGGGCUAACUGAUGAGGUGGACACCUGGCUAACUGAUGACGCCGGGCUAACUGAUGAGGUGGACACCCAGGCUAACUGAUGAGGUGGACACCCAGGCUAACUGAUGAGGUGGACACCCAGGCUAACUGAUGAGGUGGACACUCGGACAGGGCUAACUGAUGAGGUGGACACUCGGACAGGGCUAACUGAUGAGGUGGACACCUGGCUAACUGAUGACGCCGGGCUAACUGAUGAGGUGGACACUCGGACAGGGCUAACUGAUGAGGUGGACACUCGGACAGGGCUAACUGAUGAGUGAUGAGGUGGACACUCGGACAGGGCUAACUGAUGAGGUGGACACUCGGGGCCGGGCUAACUGAUGAGGUGGACACCUGGCUAACUGAUGAGGUGGACACUCGGACAGGGCUAACUGAUGAGGUGGACACUCAGACAGGGCUAACUAAUGAGGUGGACACCCAGGCUAACUGAUGAGGUGGAGGACAUUUGCCAGUAUUGGACCAGGA